rnacentral:sRNA from 1 species
UAAAACCCACGUUUAAAACCCAUCUUCUUCUUCUACGUAUCUAAAAUCACAAACUUAGGGUUUCUCUCUUCCUCUCAAUUUCUCUGGUAUGGUCUUUUCUCUCUCUUUGGUUUCAUAGUUUCUUUCUAUCUUUGGUUUCAUAUAGCUUCUCUCUCACUGGUUUUGUAGGUUCAUAAUU